UAGGGAAUCUUCCACAAUGGACGCAAGUCUGAUGGAGCAACGCCGCGUGAGUGAAGAAGGUUUUCGGAUCGUAAAGCUCUGUUGUUGGUGAAGAAGGAUAGAGGCAGUAACUGGUCUUUAUUUGACGGUAAUCAACCAGAAAGUCACGGCUAACUACGUGCCAGCAGCCGCGGUAAUAAGUAGGUGGCAAGCGUUGUCCGGAUUUAUUGGGCGUAAAGCGAGCGCAGGCGGAAUGAUAAGUCUGAUGUGAAAGCCCACGGGUCAACCGUGGGACUGCAUCGGAAACUGUCAUUCUUGAGUGCAGAAGAGGAGAGUGGAAUUCCAUGUGUAGCGGGUGAAAGCGUAGAUAUAUUGAAGAACACCAGUGGCGAAGGCGGCUCUCUGGUCUGCAACUGACGCUGAGGCUCGAAAGCAUGGGUAGCGAACAGG
rnacentral:rRNA from 1 species